UACGUAGGGGGCGAGCGUUGUUCGGAAUUAUUGGGCGUAAAGGGCGUGUAGGCGGUGCGGUAAGUCGGACGUGAAAUCUCCGGGCUUAACCCGGAGGGGUCGUUCGAAACUGCCGUGCUCGAGUGUGGGAGAGGGAAGCGGAAUUCCCGGUGUAGCGGUGAAAUGCGUAGAUAUUGGGAGGAACACCAGAGGCGAAGGCGGCCGACUGGACCUGACCUGACGCUGAGGCGCGAAGGCGUGGGGAGCGAACGGG
rnacentral:rRNA from 1 species